CCUACGGGAGGCAGCAGUGAGGAAUAUUGGUCAAUGGACGAGAGUCUGAACCAGCCAAGUAGCGUGAAGGAUGACUGCCCUAUGGGUUGUAAACUUCUUUUGUCAAGGGACAAAAUCAGGCUCGAGAGCCUGACCGAGGGUACUUGAAGAAAAAGCAUCGGCUAACUCCGUGCCAGCAGCCGCGGUAAUACGGAGGAUGCGAGCGUUAUCCGGAUUUAUUGGGUUUAAGGGGUGCGUAGGCGGGCUGUUAAGUCAGCGGUAAAAGCCCGGGGCUCAACCCCGGCGAGCCGUUGAAACUGGCUGUCUUGAGAUGUCGAGAGGUAUGCGGAAUGCGCAGUGUAGCGGUGAAAUGCUUAGAUAUUGCGCAGAACUCCGAUUGCGAAGGCAGCAUACCGGCGGCGAUCUGACGCUGAGGCACGAAAGCGUGGGUAUCGAACAGGAUUAGAUACCCGAGUAGUC
rnacentral:rRNA from 1 species